ACGAUAACGGCGUCGAGCGGCGGACGGGUGAGUAAUGCCUAGGAAAUUGCCCUGAUGUGGGGGAUAACCAUUGGAAACGAUGGCUAAUACCGCAUGAUGCCUACGGGCCAAAGAGGGGGACCUUCGGGCCUCUCGCGUCAGGAUAUGCCUAGGUGGGAUUAGCUAGUUGGUGAGGUAAGGGCUCACCAAGGCGACGAUCCCUAGCUGGUCUGAGAGGAUGAUCAGCCACACUGGAACUGAGACACGGUCCAGACUCCUACGGGAGGCAGCAGUGGGGAAUAUUGCACAAUGGGCGCAAGCCUGAUGCAGCCAUGCCGCGUGUGUGAAGAAGGCCUUCGGGUUGUAAAGCACUUUCAGUCGUGAGGAAGGUAGUGUAGUUAAUAGCUGCAUUAUUUGACGUUAGCGACAGAAGAAGCACCGGCUAACUCCGUGCCAGCAGCCGCGGUAAUACGGAGGGUGCGAGCGUUAAUCGGAAUUACUGGGCGUAAAGCGCAUGCAGGUGGUUUGUUAAGUCAGAUGUGAAAGCCCGGGGCUCAACCUCGGAAUUGCAUUUGAAACUGGCAGACUAGAGUACUGUAGAGGGGGGUAGAAUUUCAGGUGUAGCGGUGAAAUGCGUAGAGAUCUGAAGGAAUACCGGUGGCGAAGGCGGCCCCCUGGACAGAUACUGACACUCAGAUGCGAAAGCGUGGGGAGCAAACAGGAUUAGAUACCCUGGUAGUCCACGCCGUAAACGAUGUCUACUUGGAGGUUGUGGCCUUGAGCCGUGGCUUUCGGAGCUAACGCGUUAAGUAGACCGCCUGGGGAGUACGGUCGCAAGAUUAAAACUCAAAUGAAUUGACGGGGGCCCGCACAAGCGGUGGAGCAUGUGGUUUAAUUCGAUGCAACGCGAAGAACCUUACCUACUCUUGACAUCCAGAGAACUUUCCAGAGAUGGAUUGGUGCCUUCGGGAACUCUGAGACAGGUGCUGCAUGGCUGUCGUCAGCUCGUGUUGUGAAAUGUUGGGUUAAGUCCCGCAACGAGCGCAACCCUUAUCCUUGUUUGCCAGCGAGUAAUGUCGGGAACUCCAGGGAGACUGCCGGUGAUAAACCGGAGGAAGGUGGGGACGACGUCAAGUCAUCAUGGCCCUUACGAGUAGGGCUACACACGUGCUACAAUGGCGCAUACAGAGGGCAGCCAACUUGCGAAAGUGAGCGAAUCCCAAAAAGUGCGUCGUAGUCCGGAUUGGAGUCUGCAACUCGACUCCAUGAAGUCGGAAUCGCUAGUAAUCGUGGAUCAGAAUGCCACGGUGAAUACGUUCCCGGGCC
rnacentral:rRNA from 1 species